rnacentral:rRNA from 1 species
AGUCGAGCGGUAGAGAGAAGCUUGCUUCUCUUGAGAGCGGCGGACGGGYGAKUAAUGCCUAGGAAUCUGCCUGGUAGUGGGGGAUAACGUUCGGAAACGGACGCUAAUACCGCAUACGUCCUACGGGAGAAAGCAGGGGACCUUCGGGCCUUGCGCUAUCAGAUGAGCCUAGGUCGGAUUAGCUAGUUGGUGRGGUAAUGGCUCACCAAGGCGACGAUCCGUAACUGGUCUGAGAGGAUGAUCAGUCACACUGGAACUGAGACACGGUCCAGACUCCUACGGGAGGCAGCAGUGGGGAAUAUUGGACAAUGGGCGAAAGCCUGAUCCAGCCAUGCCGCGUGUGUGAAGAAGGUCUUCGGAUUGUAAAGCACUUUAAGUUGGGAGGAAGGGUUGUAGAUUAAUACUCUGCAAUUUUGACGUUACCGACAGAAUAAGCACCGGCUAACUCUGUGCCAGCAGCCGCGGUAAUACAGAGGGUGCAAGCGUUAAUCGGAAUUACUGGGCGUAAAGCGCGCGUAGGUGGUUUGUUAAGUUGGAUGUGAAAUCCCCGGGCUCAACCUGGGAACUGCAUUCA